UUUUUUUUUUUUUAAACCUUUUACUCCAUCUAUAUAUACAUAUGACACCACACCCUUGGUGUGGCAAGAAACCACACUUAAGUGGUAAACUGUGACGUGGCGCUUACGUGACACUUACGUGGCGAGGGAGGGAGUGCGGUUUCGGUGGCACCACUCCCUCCAGCCUUAGAAUCAGGACCAAGGGUGAUGAUAAUUAGAUUCCUAGAUGUCAUCAUAGACCGUGUAAAUUCACUUUUUUUAUUGCAAGAGAAUUAUCCCCAAAAAUGACACGAGAUGUAGGCACAUGAUAAAAAUGCAAACUAUUAAAUUAAGGGGUAGGGAGAACAAAAAACGUGUUACAACAACAUCAAUUAAUUAAAUUAAGAGACUCACGGUGCUUAUACGAAAAAGAAGGCUGCCCCUUUCAGGCUUCCACCAGCGUGCUCCUCCAAAACUAGCGAUACCCACCUCUGAGCGAUACCUCUGGCCACUCCAUCAGCGUGCUUUUACCCUAACGCCUCCACUCCAGCGACUUCCUCCGCCACUCCAUCAGCGACUACCUCCGGCCACCAGACAUAAGCGCCGCCACCCCAGCGCCUAGCCGGGAUUCAGAGUUUCAGCUAUGGUUGCUGAUGAAACCAACCUCCAACGCCACCUCUCAACUUUCAAACGAGCAAUACCCACCUCCUCCAGCAUUGCCCCUUUGCUGACGACACCAACCUCCUCUUGAACAUAUACUAGUUCAUAAAUGAUAGAGAAUAAUCUUGUGAUCAGAGUUAUACAUCCCAAGAAUUUAUCAUUUGAUCAAUGUCACAUCUAAUAAGCAAAAGAUAUGUAUUUGCUAUUAUACACAUUAUGGCUGUUGUAGAACCUUUUCACAUUCUACAAUAUGAGUUUGACUUAAUAUAAUACUAUAUAUGGUCAGAUAAUGAGGUGAAAGGACUUCAAACUUUUUAUAAUCAUAAAAAAUAUCUAGAAAUCCAAUGACACAAUUUGACAUGUGGAUUUUUCUACUUGUAAAAUAUAGAAGGCAACUGACUCUUCCUUCUCAUCUAUUUUGUCCUUUAGUUUUGACAUACUUAUGUGGUUUGACUAUUACACAAUGAAUUAGAAAAUUGUAAAUAUAGAACAUGUUUUCUCAUUAUGAUGAAACAAAGAAAACAUGUUCUAUAUUGCAAGUUGCAUGAUUAAUAUACACAUGAAUCCAAGACAUGAGAAUGGUAUACACAAACAGAAAGAAGUUUGACAUGAUCAUUUGUGUUAAAAAAAAAUAGACUUAUUAGUACUUUGAUUGAAAGCUCAGUUGGAACUAUAAACAUACAUCGAAGCUCAUACUGUCAUAUGAAUUCAAUUUUAUACCACAGUUUCUAAGACUCAGAAAACAAAAACGAUUUUAUCUCGAUUUCAGAUAAUAACUCACCAAGAGGAGGUUGGUGUCGUCUGCGAAGGGGCAAUGCUGGAGGAGGUGGGUAUUGCUCGUUUGAAAGUUGAGAGGUGGCGUUGGAGGUUGGUUUCAUCAGCAACCAUAGCUGAAACUCUGAAUCCCUAAACCCAGAGACGAUCAUUAAGGCCCGUGCAAGUAGUAUGGGUAAACUAAGUGCCCUAGUUCAGCACCAGUUUUCCCGCAGGGCGCUUAUCACAGCUACUUGUGAAGUCGAUUGCAUGGAUCUAAACAAACGAUCGAGGUUUGGAUUAACAUUGGCAUUGGAUCCGUGAUUAUUCAGAAGUGUUGGGGAUGGGGGAUUGUGGCGGAGUGAUUGUUAACUUGUCCACAUCGACACUAAUUAAUGACAUAUUGGGAAGUUGGACUCACAUUGACACUAAUUAGUUUAUGAGUUGAUAUUGGGUUAUUGAAAUACAAUAUGGUCACAUGAAUAUGAUAGUUUAAAGUAAAUGCGUUUAAUGAUAAUUUCAUAUGAUUUUCUAACAA